CCCAUGUCUGAAUCAGAGCCCAGAAGCUACUCAGAAGGGAGUACAAGGUGGAAUGAAGGCUUUUCUGGUGACGGAGAGGAGAUAAGGUGAAAAGUCAAUAUGUGGGGCAUGGAACCUUCUAGAAGAGCAGCUGAUGUUGUCUCUCCACUUCUCCAAGAAGCCCGCUGAACAUGUGUAUUCAUCAGAGCCCCAGAUGCCACAGGUGUUUGCCCAUGGAAUUCUAUGUAAUUUUUUCUGAAUUUUUCAAAUAUACUCUGCUGCCUGGUUGUGAAACCCCAAGAUGAAAUUAUCACUGAAGUGAGUGAAGAAUGUAAUAGAUACGGUGCUCUCUAGAAGUGUCUACAGCAUGCUAAGUGUCCACCAAGCUGAUCAUUUUUCUCCUGGUCACAUAGGAGACCACAUUCCAGACCUCCUCAUUCUCUACCAGCUGGACAUGGUCCAAGGAGAGCUCCAAGGUCAAGUUCCAUGGUGGAUUACCAGGAGGAAGUGUGGAAUUGCCUUGUGGAAGGACACCGUUGAAUGUCUGAUGAGACUGUGAUAUGAGUGAUAUUUUUGAGCCAACGAGAAUGCUUUUGAAGGCUGUUUACCGAUGAGGACUGGAGAGAAAAGAGGGAGCCUGGUGGACAGAAGCACAAAGAGCAUUUACGAUGCUGAGCCAUCUCUGAAGAUAGAAAGAAGCUUCCGUCUUCCCGUCUUGCAGAGAAUUGUUUUCCAGGAAAUUAAUUUUUUAGUUCUUCUUCCCUUUUGUCUCUCCACUUUCCAACUGAUCUUCAAAACAUAAUUGCAAACCAUAAG